GGCGAUACAAUCAAGAAAUUUAAAAGGGAUCUGCAUCUGACUCGCUCGUAAGCGAUUUAAUUAAAAGGGAGACGUGCAACAUUUACCAGCAUCCAGCACAGCUACCAGGGCAGAUUCAAACACAUUAAUACACACACACGUACACGCAGCGGACGUAUUUGUUAAGUAUCGUAGUUAGAAAAAUGAGUAAAAGAACGUUGUCUAAUUUAUUGGGAAAAGAAAAAAAAAUUAUGAGGAAAAUAUAGCGAAAUUUCGCAAAUUAAAUGAAAAUGUUAACGUAGAAGCAAAUGAAAACUUUCCCAACAGAUUAGACGACGAUGAUUUUCCAUCAACAAGUA